CGGGCCCGACUCCUACGGGAGGCAGCAGUAGGGAAUAUUGGGCAAUGGAUGGAAGUCUGACCCACCCAUGCCGCGUGCCGGACAAAGGCCCUCAGGGUUGUAAACGGUUUUUAUUCGGGAAAAAAAGCAGGGAUGCGUCCUUGUGUGACGGUACCAAAUGAAUAAGCACCGGCUAACUCCGUGCCAGCACCCGCGGUAAUACGGAGGGUGCGAGCGUUGUCCGGAUUUAUUGGGUUUAAAGGGUGCGUAGGUGGCUAUUUAAGUCAGUGGUGAAAUACAGCCGCUCAACGGUUGAGGUGCCAUUGAUACUGACUAGCUUGAAAGAAUUGGAGGCUGCCGGAAUGGAUGGUGUAGCGGUGAAAUGCAUAGAUAUCAUCCAGAACACCGAUUGCGAAGGCAUGUGGCUACUAUUUAUUUGACACUGAGGCACGAAAGCAUGGGAGAGCAAACAAGAUUAGAUACCCUGGUACUCCAUGCCGUACACGAUGAGGACUCGCUGUUGGCUGUCAAUGCUGAGGGCUUAGGAAACCGUUAAGUCUCCACCUGGGGAGUACG
rnacentral:rRNA from 1 species